rnacentral:rRNA from 1 species
UACGUAGGGUGCAAGCGUUGUCCGGAAUUAUUGGGCGUAAAGAGCUCGUAGGUGGCCUGUCGCGUCGGCUGUGAAAACUCGGGGCUCAACUCCGAGCUUGCAGUCGAUACGGGCAGGCUAGAGUUCGGCAGGGGAGACUGGAAUUCCUGGUGUAGCGGUGAAAUGCGCAGAUAUCAGGAGGAACACCCGGUGGCGAAGGCGGGUCUCUGGGCCGAUAUUGACGCUGAGGUGCGAAAGCGUGGGGAGCAAACAGG